UCGGGGGGAUUGGGUGCGCA
rnacentral:misc_RNA from 1 species